UGCUUGACAACCGAUGCUGACACAGAAUAAGUCCUGAGGACGAUAUGUUCGACGAAAAGGCGGUACUCCAGCAUGGCUGCAGUCAAAUGACUGAAACAAGUAAAAGAAUUAAGAG